CCUACAGAUUCCUAUAGGGCCUUACAGAGCCCUACAGCACCCUACAGAUUCCUAUGGGGCACUACAGAUCCUAUGGGGCACUACAGAGUCCUACGGCACCCUACAGAUCCUAUGGGGCACUACAGAGCUCUGCGGGUCACUACAGAUUCCUAUGGGGCACUACAGAGCCCUAUGGCACCCUACAGAUUCCUAU
rnacentral:lncRNA from 1 species